GAGAGUUUGAUCCUGGCUCAGAUUGAACGCUGGCGGCAGGCCUAACACAUGCAAGUCGAGCGGAUGAAGGGAGCUUGCUCCUGGAUUCAGCGGCGGACGGGUGAGUAAUGCCUAGGAAUCUGCCUGGUAGUGGGGGAUAACGUCCGGAAACGGGCGCUAAUACCGCAUACGUCCUGAGGGAGAAAGUGGGGGAUCUUCGGACCUCACGCUAUCAGAUGAGCCUAGGUCGGAUUAGCUAGUUGGUGGGGUAAAGGCCUACCAAGGCGACGAUCCGUAACUGGUCUGAGAGGAUGAUCAGUCACACUGGAACUGAGACACGGUCCAGACUCCUACGGGAGGCAGCAGUGGGGAAUAUUGGACAAUGGGCGAAAGCCUGAUCCAGCCAUGCCGCGUGUGUGAAGAAGGUCUUCGGAUUGUAAAGCACUUUAAGUUGGGAGGAAGGGCAGUAAGUUAAUACCUUGCUGUUUUGACGUUACCAACAGAAUAAGCACCGGCUAACUUCGUGCCAGCAGCCGCGGUAAUACGAAGGGUGCAAGCGUUAAUCGGAAUUACUGGGCGUAAAGCGCGCGUAGGUGGUUCAGCAAGUUGGAUGUGAAAUCCCCGGGCUCAACCUGGGAACUGCAUCCAAAACUACUGAGCUAGAGUACGGUAGAGGGUGGUGGAAUUUCCUGUGUAGCGGUGAAAUGCGUAGAUAUAGGAAGGAACACCAGUGGCGAAGGCGACCACCUGGACUGAUACUGACACUGAGGUGCGAAAGCGUGGGGAGCAAACAGGAUUAGAUACCCUGGUAGUCCACGCCGUAAACGAUGUCGACUAGCCGUUGGGAUCCUUGAGAUCUUAGUGGCGCAGCUAACGCGAUAAGUCGACCGCCUGGGGAGUACGGCCGCAAGGUUAAAACUCAAAGGAAUUGACGGC
rnacentral:rRNA from 1 species